GCUUGUCUCAAAGAUUAAGCCAUGCAUGUCUAAGUAUAAACUAUUUUAUACUGUGAAACUGCGAAUGGCUCAUUAAAUCAGUUAUAGUUUAUUUGAUGGUACCUUACUACUCGGAUAACCGUAGUAAUUCUAGAGCUAAUACAUGCUGGUUAGCCUGACUUCGCGGAAGGGCUGUAUUUAUUAGAUAACAAACCAAUAUUCCUUGUGUCUAUUGUGAUGACUCAUAAUAACUGAUCGAAUCGCAUGGACCUUGUCCGCGAUACAUCAUUCAAGUUUCUGCCCCAUCAGCUUUCGAUGGUAGUGUAUUGGACUACCAUGGCUUUAACGGGUAACGGAGGAUUAGGGUUCGAUUCCGGAGAGGGAGCCUGAGAAACGGCUACCACAUCUAAGGAAGGCAGCAGG
rnacentral:rRNA from 1 species